rnacentral:rRNA from 1 species
AUUGAACGCUGGCGGCAGGCCUAACACAUGCAAGUCGAACGAGUGGCGGACGGGUGAGUAAUGUCUGGGAAACUGCCUGAUGGAGGGGGAUAACUACUGGAAACGGUAGCUAAUACCGCAUACCAUCGGAUGUGCCCAGAUGGGAUUAGCUAGUAGGUGGGGUAAAGGCUCACCUAGGCGACGAACCCUAGCUGGUCUGAGAGGGUGACCAGCCACUAGGGAACUGGAGCACGGGCCACAUGCCUACGGGAGGCAGCAGUGGGGAAUAUUGCACAAUGGGCGGAAGCCUGAUGCAGCCAUGCCGCGUGUAUGAAGAAGGGUUUCGGGUUGUAAAGUACUUUCAGCUGGGAGGCGGUACCCGCAGCAGAAGCACCGGCUAACUCCGUGCCAGCAGCCGCGGUAAUAC